CAGGUUGAUGUAAAUCGUAUGUGUCUAACUUCGACGGUUCAUUAAAAUGGCGGAACGCCACUAAAUGAUCGUGUUUAUCGCCUGUUGAUGAUCUCCCUUGUGGCAUUAGCUUUCGAUUCUGCAUUUUCUAGCGCUAAUGUAUAUUGAUUCCCAAUGGAGAAUGAAACCGAAUCUGCCUCUACUUCAUCUCUUGCUUGGCGUUGGACAAUCGAAGCCCUUGCAAGUUUCGAGGAAGUGAAACCAUCUCUAUUACAUGAUGUAAUUGAUAACGUUUCAGAAUUACUUGAUGGUACUAGAAAGAAUGGCGUGGAGAUGGUUUCAUUGAAAUGCUUGGAGGGUUUGUUUGGUUCUUUAAAUUAUAUUGGAGAAACUGUUCUUCCUGUUCAAGAAUCAAAAGUUAUGUUUGAUUCAUCUGAGAGAUGUGAAGAUGUUGUUAAACGCAUUUAUAAGGAGACUCCAAAAUCUGCUUUAAGAGUGGCUGGACCAGAUAUGUUAAAAUGGGAUGUUAGAUCCUUUACUGAUCAAAAAAGAGCAUCCAUGCGUUGCACAUUACAUAAGAUGAAAGAUGCAAUUCUCGAUGGUACACAUCCUUGUGCUGAUUUCUUAAUGCAAAAGAGUGGGUUAACACCCAUAAAUAAGAGGGAUAACAUUUGUCUGAAUAAUGAGGAUUGUAUCGAGCUCAGCGGGAGACUUGAUAUUAGCUCCUCUGGUCCUCGAGGUCAAAAUGAGAAGGGUAAAAGAAGCCCUUUACUUGAGGAUGAUAGAAGAAUAUCAGUGGUGAACCCACCUAUCUCUAGUUUGUUACCUUCUAAAAGGAGUGGUGUUGAAUUUACGUCUGAAGACGAGGCUAGACAGUUACCUGGAUGUGAUGAUGGUUACAUUAAUGUCAAGAAGCUUAAGCAGCAUUCUGCGCAUACUUCAUUUUCAGAACAGGAAGUGGCUUCUUCACAUGAAACAGAGGUGUUAGAAGAUUCAUCUGAAAGAAGUGUGCUGCAAAAUGAGAGAGAUGAUACUGAUCGCUUGGAUGAACAUCAGAUAACUUUGGUGGACGACGAACUUGUAGAGGAUGUGCAUUUUGGGUCAAAGAAAUCGCAUCAGGAUCAAUCAUGGAUUUCUUGUUAUACUAUGCCGGCUAGUACACAAGAUGGUGACAUGCUGGAAGUUGUUUGUGUCGAGAAAGUGAAAGAUGGAAGUGAACUGCCUUUUGAACCAAAAACAUCUAAUCCUUCUCCUGCUGAAGGAAACCUUCAUAACACCAGCCCUGACAAUUCCAAGUGUGACUCUGGGCAUGAUUAUCAUGUAAAUGAAACAAAUACUAUGUCUCCUAGUGGAUUUAUGUCAAAGACUGUUGCUAGAAAUAUGGAGGUUGGUGUGUAUCCGGAUGAGAAAGAGAAAGAUUUGUUAAGUGAUAGUGAUGGAUAUCAUGAAACGAUAGACAUUGCCACGAGAAAAAAAGAAUUUCUUAGUUUGCAAUGUAUGGUUGAUCACGAUUCUUUUCCAUUAGCUGACAGUAGAGUUCUUGCAGUUUGUGUGAAAUGUAAUGAGGGUGGUCAGUUGUUGUGUUGUAACAUUAGUGAUUGUCCUUUGGUGGUUCAUGCCAAGUGCUUGAGUUCCUCGACUAGUAUGACCGAUGAAGGUGACUUUUGUUGUCCUUUCUGCUUGUAUUCACUUGCUAUAUCAGAAUACCUCGAAGCUAAGAAGCACGUUGCAUUGGUAAAAAAAAAUGUUGCUUCGUUUGUUCGUACUGCUUUGGAACAUCAAUCAGUAGUUCUUCAAGAGGUAUUGCAACAAAAGGAUUUUGACCCUUCACAAAGAGCUGUAGUUGAGGAUGUUGCUAAAAUUUGUGAAGAUGUGGACUUGGAAAGUAAAGACAAUCAAGUAAGUCUAGAUGGAGAACGUGUAAAUGAAGUUGUUGACCAUCAAUCGACAACAGAUACAGAUACCGAACAAAUAACAGAGCUAUCAAAACCAUUGCAUAUUGCCAAUUCCAAUCAUAGAGAAAACAAGGCAAGUCCUUCGAGUGUAGCAUCUGAUGCUUUAUUAGGCGAGGAAAAUGGCUACGAAUUGCUGGACCAAGAGUGUCAAGGCAAUACAGUUGCAGGUGUGGUGGACCAAAAGUGUCGAGGAAAUGUUGCAGAACAGGAAGAUGGUCAAAAAGACACCGAGCAGCAUGACAUUGAUGAAAUUCUCCACGAAGGUCGUGGGCCAGUUGAACCAGCAGCUAUGCAAAAUGGUUUACAGUACCAAACUGAUGACAGCGAAGGCAAAGCUGCUCGUGCAAUUUUCACUGUAAGGAGAAAAAUCUUCUGAUGAUGGCAAUGACGAAUCUAUCAUUUCUAGAUACUCCAUAAGAUUUCGACAGAAAUGUCAUCAUACAAGUCCAGAAACUCAUCCAUUAAGACGGAAGAAACUACCCUGGACAGCUGAGGAGGAGGAGACUCUAUUGGUAGUCAUCUUUUAUCCAUUAAUAUUUCUUUUUUAAAUUAAAGAAUUUAUGGUAAAAAUGAUUUCAUACGCUU